CUAAAAGCAAAGAAAAGGACACGAGUUAUUUAAAACGGUUAUACAGAGAAGGAAGAAUAGCUGAGAACUUCCUAACGCAGUGAAAUAACUUACCACCUUCGAGCUGCACUGGGGAAAAGAAAAGUAUCUAGUGCCGUGUCAGCGACGUUACUGCAAAAGAAGCCAUUGUAUAUUUUUAUAUAAUGGGAAUCUGGGUGGAACCACGGAUAUUAAGCAUAUUCGUCCCUAAU
rnacentral:ncRNA from 1 species